CCUUUUUUCUCCAGGUUCCAAGGUUCCAUGGUGGGAAACAGCCACCAGUGGAGCAGGGGAUGGCGUUGGGACUCUGUUAGCUCUGCUGCUGGGUGGAGGAACGGCAUCUUGUGUUGUUCGGUGUUAUGCUCCCACCCUCGUAGCACUGGCACCUCCUGACCAGUUUCUCACCAAUUCAAAAUCAAGUCCCUACACGAUUUACGAAAAGGCACAGUGUCAGAUUUCUGCUGCUGCACUUAUCACGUGCCGGAGCCUCUUCUGCCCUUGUGAGAACACCCUCGCACAUCCAGCAUUGAGCAGGUGUGGAUCUCAUCUGCUCUGGGCCUUCCUAUGCUGUCAGCACCAGCUUUCUCUCUGGGUGGGUGUUUAUAGGGUCUCUCUUCUAGCCCUGGCUUUCUGGCCUUCUGGUUGAGGUGGAGACGACACUGCACCCUGGAACGGCGCUGAUGCAGAUGUGUGUUUAGACAGCCAGUUUUAUGAGA